rnacentral:rRNA from 1 species
GAACGGAAAGGCCCUGCUUGCAGGGUGCUCGAGUGGCGAACGGGUGAGUAACACGUGGGUGAUCUGCCCUGCACUUCGGGAUAAGCUUGGGAAACUGGGUAUAAUACCGGAUAGGACCACGGCCUGCAUGGGCUGUGGUGGAAAGCUUUUUGCGGUGUGGGAUGGGCCCGCGGCCUAUCAGCUUGUUGGUGGGGUGAUGGCCUACCAAGGCGACGACGGGUAGCCGGCCUGAGAGGGUGUCCGGCCACACUGGGACUGAGAUACGGCCCAGACUCCUACGGGAGGCAGCAGUGGGGAAUAUUGCACAAUGGGCGCAAGCCUGAUGCAGCGACGCCGCGUGGGGGAUGACGGCCUUCGGGUUGUAAACCUCUUUCACCAUCGACGAAGGCCCGCUUUGGUGGGUUGACGGUAGGUGGAGAAGAAGCACCGGCCAACUACGUGCCAGCAGCCGCGGUAAU